rnacentral:lncRNA from 1 species
UUGUAUUGAAAGACUAUAUUCAUACAUAAUAAUUGACAAGAUAAUAAUAAUAAAUAAAUAAGAUAGAUAUCAGCAUGGACUUUAUUUUCUUUUAUUUUUGACUUCCUUUUUGAGUCGGUAAUCGAAAGAAAAGUUUACGAAGCGCAUGAAAGAUAGGGUACUGUAGUGCUUUCCCCGUUUGAACAGCGCACCUAUUUUGCCCGUGGGGAUUUAGAUUAAGACCUUUCGAACCAUUUCUAUCAAUGCUUGCCAAAACUAAAUACGUUUCAUGUAACUCAUAAAACACUACCACUACAUUCUCCACCACACUUCCACUUUUCAAGCCUAAUUCAGAGUACUUCAAUUUACGACCAACAUUUUUUCCAUUAUUUAUCAAUUCAGAAUUCAAGAUAAAGUUUAUUUUCUUUAAUAGCUUCCAAUUAAAUCCAAAAAAAAAUGA